rnacentral:misc_RNA from 1 species
AAUUAUCAACCUUGCUCGCUUUUACUAGCUUGGGUUUGGCUUGGAUGUGAGGGCUUUGCUGGCUUCCUUUAGUGGGAUGGUCUGCUCCCUUUAAAUGCAUUAGUGGGAUCUCUUGUGGACCGUCACUUGGUGUGAUAAUUAUCUAUGCCUUGAGACUUUGAAGCAAACUAAUGGGAACCUGCUUAUAACCGUCUUCGGACAAUCUCUGACA